UACGUAGGGGGCAAGCGUUGUCCGGAUUUAUUGGGCGUAAAGCGCACGCAGGCGGUGCGGUAAGUUUCGCGUGACAGGUGGUGGCUUAACUGCCACAGGCCUUGGAAAACUGCCGCACUUGAGGGCUUGAGAGGGACGCGGAAUUCCAGGUGGAGCGGUGAAAUGCGUAGAGAUCUGGAAGAACACCAAAGGCGAAGGCAGCGUCCUGGCAAGUCACUGACGCUCAGGUGCGAAAGCUAGGGGAGCGAACGGG
rnacentral:rRNA from 1 species